GGCAUUAUAGCCAAGUGGUUACGGCGACAGAUUCGAAUACCGAAGGUUGUGUAUCUGCAAGGGCGCAGGUUCAAAUCCUGCUGAUGUCG